rnacentral:rRNA from 1 species
UGGGGAAUAUUGGACAAUGGGGGGAAACCCUGAUCCAGCGACGCUGCGUGAGUGAAGAAGUAUUUCGGUAUGUAAAGCUCUAUCAGCAGGGAAGAUAAUGACGGUACCUGACUAAGAAGCUCCGGCUAAAUACGUGCCAGCAGCCGCGGUAAUACGUAUGGAGCAAGCGUUAUCCGGAUUUACUGGGUGUAAAGGGAGCGUAGACGGCAUGGCAAGUCUGAUGUGAAACCCUGGGCUCAACCCAGGAAUGGCAUUGGAAACUGUUAAGCUAGAGUGCAGGAGAGGUAAGUGGAAUUCCUAGUGUAGCGGUGAAAUGCGUAGAUAUUAGGAGGAACACCAGU